GGACUGCGUGUUUGCUCGUUUUGUCCCGGAGCUAUGCCACGCUGGGGUCCCGACUGCCCUGACCCGUUUUGGACUGCUGCUGCUUUGUGUGGGGAUAAAACCCACACUUUUUACGGACCUUGCCUGCUGCUGCGUUCGGGUGCUGAGGGCCUCACUGGUGAUCCUGUUUGGUGAUGGUGUCCCUUCGUGUGUAGUGUCUUAUUCACUCCCCUCCUUUGUUUUGCUUUGCCCUUGUGUGUUUGGAGUGUUAAUUUUGGAUUGUGGUGCUCCCAUUUUAAGUUUAUACUUUCACCCCUCACUCACCUUGAGCACAAAUGCCCCAGCCCUGGAAUACAUGAUAAUUUAUACAAAUAGGAUAAUUUUUUUAGAUUUGAAUUGUGCCCAAUAAACUGUUGUAUAUGCUUUUGGAAACACGUCUCUCGCCUGCUCAGUGUAACGAACUUGUGUUGUCCUUUUGUUUAGAUUUAGUAAUUUACCUUAUUCAUAGAUUUCUUUCUUUUCCCUGGGUGAUUUCUCCCAGGGUGGCGUUGCUGGUUUCCUUUAGUUUCUUUCUUUUUCCCCUAGUUAAAAACAUAGAUUAUUGGGGUAGUUCCUACCCCACCUCACGCUUGCCACAAACUUGGCGUUGCUGGCAGGACUUAUACUGAAAAAAAAAGGCAGAGACGUGUGUUCCUUUGUUUUUUUGUUGUUUACAAAGCAGCAGCAGUCCCCUGGCAACCAUGGAGGAAGAAAUGCAAGAGUUGCGAGCUCUGGUUGCGCAGUUAAAGGCUGACAAUGAGAGGUUGCGUCAAGCUUCGUUGGUGCCGCCCUCUAGUGCUACACCUUCAACCUCCUCAGUACUGCCGACUGCCCUUACUUCUGCCAGUGCCCCUGCAGCCGAGAGGCCCCACAACCUGUCACGCAGGCAUUACAGGAGUACCAUCAGGUGACCACGCAGACCUCCCAGGAGCUGUCUGGGAAGGCAAAGGUCAGAGCCUCCCUGCAGGAAUCGCAGAGGUCCCAUCCACUGUAGCCAUUGUAGCUUCUCACACCGCCUUACCUACCGUGCCAGACCAGAUUGAGGGUUUAGAUCUGUCUUCUCUUUCCCCUGAAGAGCAAGGUCAGACGAGACCCCAGUCACGCAACGCUACAGGCGUGUAUCCCCUUCUGAUUAUGAGGCUGUCAAAGACCACAUUAAUCAGCUUCUUUCUGCUCAGGUGCUGAGGGCCUCACUGGUGAUCCUGUUUGGUGAUGGUGUCCCUUCGUGUGUAGUGUCUUAUUCACUCCCCUCCUUUGUUUUGCUUUGCCCUUGUGUGUUUGGAGUGUUAAUUUUGGAUUGUGGUGCUCCCAUUUUAAGUUUAUACUUUCACCCCUCACUCACCUUGAGCACAAAUGCCCCAGCCCUGGAAUACAUGAUAAUUUAUACAAAUAGGAUAAUUUUUUUAGAUUUGAAUUGUGCCCAAUAAACUGUUGUAUAUGCUUUUGGAAACACGUCUCUCGCCUGCUCAGUGUAACGAACUUGUGUUGUCCUUUUGUUUAGAUUUAGUAAUUUACCUUAUUCAUAGAUUUCUUUCUUUUCCCUGGGUGAUUUCUCCCAGGGUGGCGUUGCUGGUUUCCUUUAGUUUCUUUCUUUUUCCCCUAGUUAAAAACAUAGAUUAUUGGGGUAGUUCCUACCCCACCUCACGCUUGCCACAUCU
ensembl:lncRNA